rnacentral:lncRNA from 1 species
GCCGGAGGGGCUGCACUGCACCGAGCUUGCACAGGGCGAGGCGGGGGCAGGACCUGGGACCCAGCCACCCCGGAGGAAACCGGAGAGGAAGCCAGCUUGGUCUUGCUCUCUGCCUCGUCCCAAUCCCCGGCUCUUACCAAAUGCAGAUCCGUUGGCUGAAUGCCUUUUAGUCUGCAUACAUGCAUCUCAUACCGCACAGCCCAAAUUUCUACAACUUGUCCAGGUGCAGUCUCCUCAGAACUACAAAGCAAGAAAAGAUCACCUUUGGGCUCAGGAACUCACAGUCGUUCUCCCUCUCCCGGAAGGCACAAUGACCAGGACAGUACCGAGCUUUGCAGCCAUAUUGAACUCACCAUCAACUCAGCACAUUCAACUCAAUCAGUCAAAAUCGCCUUUUCCUGCUGGUAAAUAACACUGAAAUUGUGGGAAGAUGGGAUGGUAAGAACAAAGUCUGUCUCUGGAAGCACGGGUGCUGUCUCUGAAGACAAAUUGAUCGUAACACAAGCAGACCCGGUGGAACGACCUCCAUGCUGAACCCUCAGCUCCCCCUGCAUUUGGACCAUGGCCUGAUGGAAGAUAAAGAGACUGAUCUCAGAGUGGUACAGAUCUACAACCACGUGAAGAAUUGGAUUUAUAUUCAUCUGACUCCAGAAAGUUCCUGAGAUUCCUCUGCUUCAUCAUCUUUCCCAUGCC